rnacentral:rRNA from 1 species
UACGUAGGGUGCGAGCGUUAAUCGGAAUUACUGGGCGUAAAGCGUGCGCAGGCGGUUUUGUAAGACAGCCGUGAAAUCCCCGGGCUCAACCUGGGAAUGGCGAUUGUGACUGCAAGGCUGGAGUGCGGCAGAGGGGGAUGGAAUUCCGCGUGUAGCAGUGAAAUGCGUAGAUAUGCGGAGGAACACCGAUGGCGAAGGCAAUCCCCUGGGCCUGCACUGACGCUCAUGCACGAAAGCGUGGGGAGCAAACAGG